UAGGGUAACUGAAAAUAUGCUCGGCUAUCCUUUAUUUUUAAUCGCAUAUUAUUAUUCGGAGAUAAGAUUAUGGCAUUGUCUGCAGAAUCUAAAGCAGCAUUGGUUAAAGAGUUUCAAGUAGCGGAA
rfam:Marinomonas posidonica IVIA-Po-181, complete genome.